rnacentral:rRNA from 1 species
GAUGAACGCUAGCUACAGGCUUAACACAUGCAAGUCGAGGGACCGGCGCACGGGUGAGUAACACGUAUCCAACCUGCCCUUUACUCGGGGAUAGCCUUUCGAAAGAAAGAUUAAUACCCGAUGUAAAGGAUGGGGAUGCGUUCCAUUAGGUUGUGGGUGAGGUAACGGUCCAACAAGCCUUCGAUGGAUAGGGGUUCUGAGAGGAAGGUCACCCACAUUGGAACGGUGAACCGGUCCAAACUCCUACGGAAGGCAGCAGUGAGGAAUAUUGGUCAAUGGGCGUUAGCCUGAACCAGCCAAGUGGCGUGAAGGAUGAAGGCUUAUGGGUCGUAAACUUCUUUUAUAUAAGAAUAUGUAUUAUAUGAAUAAGGAUCGGCUAACUCCGUGCCAGCCGCCGCGGUAAUAC